GGAACCCCGUGACCUAAACUUCCUGAAAAAGCUGAAUGGCAGGCCUCAAAAGGACAAAAAAUUUAAAAUAAAGCUGUCAAGUCGACACUCUCAGUGUCGGCUUGAAGUUACUACUCUGUCCCUCAGCCGUCCCCUUCCUCAUAACCCUCCAUAGAAUCUCUUCUCCCCACUUCGCCUCUCUCUCUCUCUCUCUCUCUCUCUCACUCAUCUCGCUAAACUUUUUCCAAAAUUUCCCAGCUUUCUCAAAUCUCUACGCCGAUCUUUCUCUGUAACUCUCCCCAAUAUUUCUCAGCUCCCUCCCCAAUCUUUCUCACCGAACUCUUCAACUCCCCGAUCUCUCUCUCGUCACUCGGAAUGUUCUUAUUCUGUGGAGAAAAGCAGAAAAUGGCCGACGGCGUGGUUUAAGGUUUGGGCGUAUAUAAAAUUUGAAUUUCUUCACAAGUUGGAAAGAUCUACAACAAGGAAUGGCCAGUGGACAUCACAGGAGAGAUUACGUUCAACCUGGUCCACACGAUCCAACUUUACUGCGCCACCAACGCGUUCAUCGAUCUGAAGCUGUAUGGUUUGAAACAGUUCAACAACCAGUUCUUCAGUGUAGACGUGCUGGCAGAGUUUUGCAUGCAGAUAGGAUCCAUCCGCGUAUAGUUCCUUAUCUUCAAAUGAGUGGCUUUUAUGGAGUCUCACGUCUUGGUUUUUUUGCUCUUGAUUGGCAUCUUAUCACUGCUCUCGUAGAAAGAUGGCGAUCAGAAACUCAUACUUUUAUGAUGUCUGUAAGGUGAGUGUACCAUCACACUUCAGGAUAUCGGGUUGCUGACAGGGUUACCUAUUGAUGGAGAUCCUGUAAUUGGAAGUUCUCGUAUAAAUUGGUCAAAUGUAUGCAAUGAGCUAUUAGGAGUCGUACCUCCAGCACAAUGUAUGAAGGGAACCAGUCUUACGAUAAGAUGGUUAGCUGAGGAGUUUGCUCACAUGCCUGAAGAUGCUGAUGAGAUUACUUGGUAGUAGGUAUAUAUCAUAUAUUUUUUUUUGGUUUUUUUUAAUUCUUUUCAUAAAUUGUACAUCAUGAUAUUAUAGGUGAAGUAAUGCUAGACAAAUCACCAAAGUGUCUACUCAUGUUCUAAUACACAUCGGAUAUCAAUUUGACAGGAUGGGACAUAAUGAGAUAAUAUGGGAACCAUACACAGAAGAUGUUCUUCAAGCACUCCCAGAUUAUUGUCGGCAAGGAUGUAAAAUUUGGAGAGCUAAAGUGCCAUUGAAAUGCUUUCAUGUCGUUGAGUGGCACUAUCCAGACAGAGUGAUGCGACAGUUUGGUCUUGAACAACCUAUCCCAUGUGCCCCUCGUCAAGAUGAUGAUCUUCAUUCCACAUCUUUAUGAGUGUCUGAGGGUGAUUGGGUAACAUUACAUGCACAUUGGAUUAGCAUUUGGGAGGCUCGCACUCAAAGGAUUGUUUCAGGCACACCAACCUCACAACCUCUCCAUUACCAUUCUCAAUACAUGGAGUGGUAUCGUCUAGUUGCUCGACAAUGGAUAUCACACAAUGGAGCUGCAAUUGGUGCAGUGGAGGAUGGGAUUGAAGAAAUAUGUUUUCGUAUUAGGACGCCUACACAAGAGAACAUUGAGGCUAUAUUACGCACUACUAUGCCAUGUUCUAUGCUCUUCAAGAAGAGAGGCGAAUAGCCAUGAUUCCACCUCCACAACUUGCACCUGUUGCACCAAUUGUGGAUGAUCUUGAUGAUACACCGGCUGCCCAACCUAAUUCUCGAGCCCGACGACGACAACGCCAAGCUAUCCAAAAGAGAGAGGUGCCUAUUCCUCCAACCACUAAUCAUAUUGAUCCAGUGCCACAACCUAUUGCAUUCCACUCAUAUGGCACGUACAAUGGCUUGAGUUUUUCGUCAUCUAUGCCUAACGUUGGCAAUGAUUUCCUUAUGCAAUUCCCUGAAUGAACAACCAACCUGUAUAUAUUUAUCCCAUCUACUUCAUGGAUGUCGCAGUCAAGAUAGGCCACAGUUCAAGAAUGAAUGCGAUGGCGUUGAAACCAUGGCGUAAAAUAAAAUUUGUAAUAAUAGUAAAUAGGAUCGAUCCUACAGAAACUGAUAAAUAAAUUAAUUUUUUUGAA